GUGAUGAGCCCGACCAAAAACGAGCUGUGAAGCCGCGGCAGCUGUCUGA
rnacentral:snoRNA from 1 species